GACGAACGCUGGCGGCGUGCUUAACACAUGCAAGUCGAACGGAAAGGCCCUGCUUUUGUGGGGUGCUCGAGUGGCGAACGGGUGAGUAACACGUGAGUAACCUGCCCUUGACUUUGGGAUAACUUCAGGAAACUGGGGCUAAUACCGGAUAGGAGCUCCUGCUGCAUGGUGGGGGUUGGAAAGUUUCGGCGGUUGGGGAUGGACUCGCGGCUUAUCAGCUUGUUUGUGGGGUAGUGGCUUACCAAGGCUUUGACGGGUAGCCGGCCUGAGAGGGUGACCGGCCACAUUGGGACUGCGAUACGGACCAGAAGCCUACGGGAGGCAGCAGUGGGGAAUAUUGCACAAUGGGCGGAAGCCUGAUGCAGCAACGCCGCGUGCGGGAUGACGGCCUUCGGGUUGUAAACCGCUUUCGCCUGUGACGAAGCGUGAGUGACGGUAAUGGGUAAAGAAGCACCGGCUAACUACGUG
rnacentral:rRNA from 1 species